rnacentral:rRNA from 1 species
GAAACCUGCAACGCAGAACGACCCGAGGACCCAUACACUACCGGGGGCGGGGGGGCCGUCGCACGCCUCCCUCCCCCCAGGCCACGGCGUUCCCCGGGCGUCGGCUCGGGGUGCCCCGCGGCCGCAACAACGAACCCCGGCGCGGCACGCGCCAAGGAACUCACAACGAACUUAGCACGCCGGCCGCCGACUCGUGCGGCGGCCGUGCCUGYGAACAGUCGAUACCUAAACGACUCCCGGCAACGGAUAUCUCCUCUCGCAUCGAUGAAGAACGUAGCGAAAUGCGAUACUUGGUGUGAAUUGCAGAAUCCCGUGAACCAUCGAGUUUUUGAACGCAAGUUGCGCCCGAAGCCGCUCGGCCGAGGGCACGCCUGCCUGGGCGUCACGUAUCGCGUCGCUCCCUCAACGCACUCCCCCUCUCGGCGGAUGCGCUGCGGGAGCGGAGACUGGCCUCCCGUGCCCCGGCACGGCUGGCCCAAAUGCGAGCCCCGGGGUGACCGAAGCGUCACGACAAGCGGUGGUUGGUAGUACCUCGGCCCUUGUUGCGUCGUGCCCGCAUGCACCCCCGCUCAGCUCCCCCGCCGCACGGCGAUUGCCUCGCGACC